GUGGAGCACCAGCGUGUUGCUCGCUCUGGYUCCAACUCACGUGAGAUGAAAUAUCCAGCAACGGGGUUGGCAAAUACAGCAAUUCAGCAACAGCUGAUGCAGCUUCUUGCUAAUCCAGCCACGCUCACGCCACAACAGAUGCAAAUGAUUCUCACUUCACUCCUGCCACUUCUGACAGGAUAAUACAAUAAAGUUAAAGCUUGCUGUUUCAACCAGAGUGCUUCCUCACUCAGUUUGGUCAAACAACAAUCAUCAUCAUCUUCUGUCUGAUAAAUAAAUACUGAUCAAUGAAAAAA